UGUGGUGGGCAUCAGGUGGAUGUUUCAUUAACCCGGUCAGGUCUGAAAGGAAGCAGCCGUAGUGAAAACUAUUCAGGUUGUUGCCUGCCUUAAAA
rnacentral:SRP_RNA from 1 species